CUAAGCAGUGAUGUGGAGCAAAUCCCCAAAAGCAGUCUUAGUUCGGAUUGUAGGCUGCAACCCGCCUACAUGAAGUCGGAAUUGCUAGUAAUCGCGGAUCAGCAUGCCGCGGUGAAUACGUUCCCGGGCCUUGUACACACCGCCCGUCACACCAUGGGAGUUGGUAACACCCGAAGUCAGUAGCCUAACCGCAAGGAGGGCGCUGCCGAAGGUGGGAUCGAUGACUGGGGUGAAGUCGUAACAAGGUAAC
rnacentral:rRNA from 1 species